CCUGGCUUAGGACGAACGCUGGCGGCGUGCCUAAUACAUGCAAGUCGAACGGUCUUUUCUAUGGAAGCUUGCUUCCACUGAGAAGAUAGUGGCGAACGGGUGAGUAACACGUGGGUAACCUGCCCAUAAGAGGGGGAUAACAUCCGGAAACGGGUGCUAAUACCGCAUAGUUUUCUUGAUCGCAUGAUCGGGAAAGGAAGACGGCCUUUGUGCUGUCGCUUAUGGAUGGACCCGCGGCGUAUUAGUUAGUUGGUGAGGUAAUGGCUCACCAAGACGAUGAUACGUAGCCGACCUGAGAGGGUGAUCGGCCACAUUGGGACUGAGACACGGCCCAAACUCCUACGGGAGGCAGCAGUAGGGAAUCUUCCGCAAUGGACGAAAGUCUGACGGAGCAACGCCGCGUGAGUGAAGAAAGGUUUUCGGAUCGUAAAACUCUGUUGCCAGAGAAGAACAAGUUGGAGAGUAACUGCUCCAGCCUUGACGGUAUCUGACCAGAAAGCCACGGCUAACUACGUGCCAGCAGCCGC
rnacentral:rRNA from 1 species